rnacentral:rRNA from 1 species
GGCCUACGGGGGGCAGCAGUGGGGAAUAUUGGGCAAUGGGCGCAAGCCUGACCCAGCAACGCCGCGUGAAGGAAGAAGGCUUUCGGGUUGUAAACUUCUUUCCUCAGGGACGAAGCAAGUGACGGUACCUGAGGAAUAAGCCACGGCUAACUACGUGCCAGCAGCCGCGGUAAUACGUAGGUGGCAAGCGUUAUCCGGAUUUACUGGGUGUAAAGGGCGUGUAGGCGGGGACGCAAGUCAGUUGUGAAAACCAU